GUCUAUAGCCAUGCUACCCUGAACAAGCCCGAUCUCGUCUGAGUUUGGAAGCUAAGCAGGGUCGGGUCUGGUUAGUACUUGGAUAAGAAACCACCUAGGAAGAUCAGGUGCUAUAGGCA
rnacentral:rRNA from 1 species